GACGGAGGGGGCGAGCGUUGUUCGGAAUUACUGGGCGUAAAGCGCGCGUAGGCGGCGCGUUCAGUGCAUCGUGAAAGCCCUCGGGCUUAACCGGGGAAGGGCGGUGGCAAACUGGCGGGCUAGAGUGCUGGAGGGGGAGGCGGAAUUCCUGGUGGAGCGGUGAAAUGCGUAGAGAUCAGGAAGAACGUCGGUGGCGAAGGCGGCCUCCUGGACAGACACUGACGCUGAGGUGCGACAGCGUGGGGAGCGAACGGGAUUAGAUACCCCCGUA
rnacentral:rRNA from 1 species